CGGGAGCACCCGCUGAGUUUAAGCAUAUCAAUAAGCGGAGGA
rnacentral:rRNA from 1 species